rnacentral:rRNA from 1 species
GGCGCANGCCUGAUCCAGCAAUGCCGCGUGCAGGAUGAAGGCCUUCGGGUUGUAAACUGCUUUUGUACGGAACGAAACGGUCCUUUCUAAUACAAGGGGCUAAUGACGGUACCGUAAGAAUAAGCACCGGCUAACUACGUGCCAGCAGCCGCGGUAAUACGUAGGGUGCGAGCGUUAAUCGGAAUUACUGGGCGUAAAGCGUGCGCAGGCGGUUAUGUAAGACAGAUGUGAAAUCCCCGGGCUCAACCUGGGACCUGCAUUUGUGACUGCAUAGCUAGAGUACGGUAGAGGGGGAUGGAAUUCCGCGUGUAGCAGUGAAAUGCGUAGAUAUGCGGAGGAACACCGAUGGCGAAGGCAAUCCCCUGGACCUGUACUGACGCUCAUGCACGAAAGCGUGGGGAGCAAACAGGAUUAGAUACCCUGGUAGUCCACGCCCUAAACGAUGUCAACUGGUUGUUGGGUCUUCACUGACUCAGUAACGAAGCUAACGCGUGAAGUUGACCGCCUGGGGAGUACGGCCGCAAGGUUGAAACUCAAAGG